GUCAUGGAUAGCUCUGAGCCGUGCUCUCUGCCAGGCGGACUGGCCAGCAUCAAGAAACAGUUUGAAAGCCAAGAGUUCAGUUCCUCUUCUGCGUCCCAAAGCACUGUUACACAAUACCACUACCAACAGAGACAGCAGGUGGUGAGCUCAUCAGAGGUGACGGUACGAAGCAGUGUUAAAGAAAGCAGUACCUCAAAUGCUCAGGUAUACCCAUACAAGAUGAAAAACCCCAUAGGUGCAAUGCCCAAUAAAAAAAUUCUGCUAUGAUUUACGCACUCUAAUGCUGUUCCAAACUCAAUACAGUUUACUAGAAAACCUAUAUUUUGCCGACAGACAUUCUUUUUUUAAGGUAUUAUUAAGGUGUUCUGCUCACUGUUUUCAUGUUAAUGAGAAAGGUAGUGUCAAAUGUAGUUUACUACAGUUUAAUAACAAUUGUAAGUUACCUAAUAACUGUUUGUAAUUUUCUCUUUCUCAUUUCUAUUUUAACCUUUUAAAGUGAUGGUAAUUGGAGGAGAGAAUUUGCCAAAAAUUUCUGCUCAAGCCCUGAAACAGCAGCAUGAAAAAAGUAUUGAGGAGGCCACUCCACCCAAACAUAUCAAGGUAAAAAAUGACGUAUACCGAUGAAGACAGUAAACUGUUUUACCUGCAGUGGUUAAAAAUAUAUGGGUGUUUCUUUAAAUUAAGGCACUUUUUUGUUCUUGGGGACGGGAAACAGAUUUUCCCAUUUUUUUCAUGUGUCACACAACUGUCUUUUAAAUAGAGUAUAGAUGUUACUGGUUUAUCUUUGUCAGAAAUCCAGAAGUUAUGAAAAUUAAUAUGAGAAAUAGCUAAAUUAAGCUAAAAUCACGUAAAAAUAAAAAUAGAAAAUGCGCAAGUCAUCAAGCAAGACGUGAUAUUAGCUUUAGCAAAGCCAUUUUUGCCCCAAAAAUGCUUAAAAUGUAAUUUACAGAAUUAUGUUAAACACAAUAAAUAAUUUGAGAUGUGGUGGAAUUGAUACUUUAUUGUAAAAAAAAAAAGGCCUAUAUAUAAAAUAACAAAAUUAUUUUUCGAUGCAUAUCUCAACCGUUGAAAAAUUAGUGUAAAAAAAUGUAUUUUAAGCCCACAGGGCUAAAAGAGCCCAUAUUUAAUGGAAUGCCCGUAUGUUAAUUGUACAUAAAUCAACAUAAAUCUACACUGACUAUUCUAUUCAAGCAUAUUUCUUUCUAUUACUCUUUUCUCUGCUUACGCAUAAAAAUAAAAGUAGAAUAGAUUUCAUGCACAAGA
rnacentral:lncRNA from 1 species